GAGUUUGAUCCUGGCUCAGAUUGAACGCGGCGGCGUGCCUAACACAUGCAAGUCGAGCGGUAACAGGUGUAGCAAUACAUGCUGACGAGCGGCGAACGGGUGAGUAAUGCUUCGGAAUCUACCUUAUGGUGGGGAAUAACUAGCCGAAAGGUUAGCUAAUACCGCAUACGUCCUACGGGAGAAAGCAGGGGAUCGCAAGACCUUGCGCCAAAAGAUGAUCCGAAGUCGGAUUAGCUAGUUGGUAGGGUAACGGCCUACCAAGGCGACGAUCCGUAGCUGGUCUGAGAGGACGACCAGCCACACUGGGACUGAGACACGGCCCAGACUCCUACGGGAGGCAGCAGA
rnacentral:rRNA from 1 species